UGUUUAGAAAAGCGUAGGCGCUGACCCAGGACUUCCUUCUUCCUCUCCAUCUCUCCACCUCUCCCCUCUACCUCCUGCACUGACCUCCGCUGCUCCCUUCAUCAGAACAGAGUUGCCCUCUGAUUCUUAAUUAUUAUCCUGAUCACUGCCUUGAAAACAUCAGACUGCAGAAGAAUGGGGCACAUAUGUACCACCUCCUGCCUUCGCUCUCCAGUCCUCAUUCCUCAAUUACAAUAAUAAUAGCAGCAACUGUUAAGUGUUUGAAAGAUUUCUUUUAAUUCUCGCCACAUCUGUGACACUGAUGAAGAAAGCCAGAAUCAGGGAAUUUAGCUUCCCCUCGGUCAUUCAGCUGCAGCCGAGAUUAGAAUCCAGAAACCUCUGGCUCCGAAACAAUUACACUUUAUGACUUUUUGAUGACAGGAGAAUUUCACUUCCCUCCCUGUUUUCUUUUUCUUCUUUCCAAGGGUCCCUAGUAGAUGAUUUAGUUAUUUAAGAUGUAAUGUGGUAUAGAGGAAAGAGGCGGGCUUUGGAACCACGCAGACCUGAGUCGGAAUUACGUCUUCUGGACUUAUUAGUGGACUGGCUUUGGGAAAAUGACUUAACAUCUCUAGAUUUUGAUUUUCUCAUCUUCCAAAGUGAGGUCACAAUGCCCUAGAACCCAACCCACGGCUUGGUAUGUCAUAGACAUUCAGUAAAUAUAUACUGAUUCAUUUUUCUCCUCUCUCUUUCCCUUAUUAUUUUUCUCUUCUUUCUCUCAUUCCCUCUUUCUCAUUAUUGUCUUUGAUUCUGUCUCAGAUUGGUCAAAAUAUCCAGGAAUAUUAGGGGACAACUAGGAAAAUUUAAAUACUAGAUACUUAUUGGUAUGAUAAAAUGUGAUUUUUUUAGGUAUGGUCGUUGUACUAUAAUUAUGUUUUAGAAAGAGUUCUUUUUUUCAGAGAUACAUGCUUAGGUGGAUGGAUGCUUUAUGCCUUAUGGAUGCUUUGAUAUGAUGUCUUGGACUUGCUUCAGUAAAACCCAGUGAAGUUAGGGGUUGAGGGACAAGAGUGAGUAGAGAUAUGGACAAAACAAGAUUGGCUAGAUUGAGCAGUGGGUACACAGGGAUUCAUUUUACUAUCAGUCUCUACUUUUGUGUAUGCUUGAAAAUUUCCAAAAUGAAACAUUUUCUAAAAUGUCCAAGAGAAAGUUCAGUCCUCAGUAUCUUCCUCAUGUUCACCAAAGUCCCCAGUUCUCCCCAAUGACAUUCUGGGCAGCUUUUCUCCUUGCUUUUCCCAGUACUUUCUGGGUUGUUCCAGACUCUGUGCCAGUGGAGUGCCACACUGCCUCAGCCCCCACAGCUGGCGAUUGGACAAGAAUCUCUUCCUGACCCCAGAUGGCAUCACAGCUUCCUCAGUCUGAUCCUGUCAGCAUAUUUUUUCCAGGCACCUGAUUCUUGGACGUGGCAGCAAUAAAACCAACCGAGAUUAUUUGGCCGGCCCCCUCUGGAGCAGGCCGGGAUCCACCCUUGCUUCCAACGUCAUAUGUCACUUCAUACUUUCACAGUCCUUCAAAUCUCUUCUCCCGUCUGAGCUUCAUGAGCCGGGAGGUCCCACGUACUCGCCUUGGCAUAGGUGGGGAGCUGUUGGUCCUGACUGGUUGAUGGCUGACUCCCAGUUCUGUGUUUAUCCACUGAAGCCCAGUGCAGUUGUUGUGCAAGGUGUCGGCAAAGGACCAGGAGAGGGGACCAAGCACCUCUAAGCUGAAGAAUGGUGUGCAUCUCUCCCCCUUCCACCGUUUCUGUUCAGGUUUGACUCACAGAGCCUUGCAGCUUCACAGUCACUUAUAAGAGGAGGUGGUAAAGACAGCUGCUGGAGAGAACAUCUGGCAGGGCUCUGAGCAAAUGUUCUUACCAGGGGGAUAUGAAGCCUGAGACCCUGACUAGCAUCUGAGCCCUGGGAUGCUGAGCGUUCCCCAACUCGUUAAUAAAAGGAUCUGCUGGACUCAUUGUAAGAUGGGAAUGACAAAAACUGUCUGGUUUACAUACGAGAUCACAGAUCAGGAAUGUUGGAGCGUUUCACUGGCAAGGAAUGAAGAGCUCAGCUACAAGCCUCGGAAAACAGGAGCAGGCACAGAGCAACAGCUCGUUGUGUGCUUCUUGCCCUGGGGAAAGGACGUAGUGCCUGUGGACACGGGAGUCCGCUAUCAAUGCAUGGUUACACACACCAACCGCCUGCUCUGUGUGCUGGACCCAGAAACCAUAGAGCCUUUUCCCAGCCCUUACAUUAGGACAGAGUACGAGGCUCCGAACUCUCUCCAGUGCAUCCAAGUAUCCUGGGUUUCCCUCAUUUUCUGAUCACAUUAUUGACUGGAAGGGGGAGGGGAGGGAGUACAGGUAACUAAGAAGUAGAGCGAGCACAUAGGUGUAUGAACUAUUAUAAAAUAAUAAAAAUAGCAACCACUUAUUGACCCCUACCAUGUGUCAAGUACUCUGUUAGAUAUUUAACAAAUGUGACUUUAUUUAAUAUUUCUAACAUUCAUUAUAUAUUUCUAUUCCCAUUUUAAAGACAGGCCAACUAAGGCUUAGGGCGCUUGGUCACCGUUCCACGUAAUAUUACACUAGAAAAUGUGUGUUAAAGGGAGAAAUUAUACCAUAAGUAUCAUAUAAUAGGAGCAGUAACAUUUCUGCAGUAUUUAUAUUUACGAACUUCUUUCACAUGCUGUGAACCAUAUCCCCAUAAAAAAGGAGAGGAUUCAGGAAAUGAGAUGCAAGGAGAAGUAAGAUGUACUGAGAAGUUUCCAUGCACCAGGCAUGUGUGCUAUCUAGGUGAAUUAUUAGGUGUCAUCAGCCCUACUUUGCAGACAGUAAACUCAACUUUAGAAGUGUUAAGUAACCUGUGUAAUGUUUAUAAUUCGCGAGUGAUAGAGUCAGGGCUAAAUUUAAUAUUGAAUUAGAUUAAAGGCGAGAUAGAUUGUGCCAGAACUGGGAGAGAUACACCCUCCGCAUCCCAGUGAGUUCCUGACAAUUGUGAUUAUAAAAAUCACUCAAGUGUGCGUUCAGAACCUACUACCAGGAUCAAAAGAGUUGAGUCCAGGACCCAUACUUCCAGCUUGCUAGAGGGAACAUUCACGCAGACCCUCGAGUCCGUGGCUGAGGAAGUGAUGGACACGACUUCUUCCAUGUGGCAAUGAGGAGCCCCUGAAAGCGGCCUGAUGGGGACAGGGAUGCAGCAGGGAAUGGGCAAGAGUGGAAAGCACCUGAGAUUUUGACCACAUGUGGAGAUAAAAAAUGUAAAGCGUGUGAUUAAAUAUAAGUAAGAAGACCCAAUCUGUAAUAAUCUGCACUGACCAUUGAUAACCUCAGUGUAAGACCAGCUAACAACAGAAAAAUUUAAACUUUACAAGGACACUAAAAGGAUGAUAGUCAAACACAAAAAGAUAUAAUUCUCAAGAGCUUAAGAGGGGCUGUUGAGGAAAUUAAGAAAACCUUUUAUUAUUUUUGUAAAAAUUAUGUCUUUUAUUAUAUCCUGCUGAGAAAGUCAAAUAUAAAGCAAAGGAUGGAAUAUUUUGCUAUCAGCCAGUUUUAGUGGGAAGAUUCGAUGAAUACCAAAAACAAACAAAAAAACUGAACACUUGAUUUAUUUUUAAUUUAUUCUCAGAGUGGAUGUAUCCUAGUAAUUAUUUACUUGUUGUUGUCACAUGCCAUCAAGUUGGCUCUGACUCCUGCUAACCCUAUGGACGAGUGAUGUCCACAGUGCCCUGUCGUCAG